CAGAGCAGCUGGGUAGAGACCGCCUCUGCCGUCUCCGUCACAACAAUGACGAUCAGGACAGAAUAAGAAGAUCAGGGCGGACAGGUUCUUUCGUCCUGACUGUUGACGUUGUCAGGGGCCAUGCUUUUCUUAUUCUUGCUUCACUUUUCCUUCCUCCUCUGAAGUGAAGGGGUGGAUUCCAAAAACCUUUUUAAAAAGCCCACAACUGUAGGCAGUCACGUUGUUUCAUUGGGGGAGAUCCAAAAAUAACAAGAGUAAUAAUGUAUUGGGGCCAAUAAAAGAGCGCAGAGCAGUGAGCAAGCUUUCCAGUUGAUGUAAACUUCAAGAGAAUUUUAUCUGAUUGGAUUAGGCAAAUGAAGGGGCAAGGAGAGGACAUGAUGAAAAAGUCCGCCAAAUUAAAACAGACAAAGAUUAAGUGUGAGGUAUUGGUUGUGUUUAGAAUAGAUUUAUGAAAGAUUUAGAAAAUUUAUGGAUUAGAAUAUUUGUGUGAGAUUGUAUGGGGAAAAUACGGAAUAACAGAUACAAUCUUGCUUAAAAUGUAUAUAGGAAGUGCAGUGUAAGCCUUGAUGGAAGUCAAUCAAUGAAAUUUUAUUAUUGAGAUAUUUGUAGAAUAAAUUUGGAAGAAAUUCUUCCAACUUUUCUUCUUUUUCUCAUUUUUUUUCUUUUCUUCCUUUUUUCCUUUUUGUUCUUUUUUAUAUAUGUGUGUUUAUCUGAAAUAUAUAUGUAUUUGCAAUAUUUUGCUUAUAUUUUGUAAUAAUUAAGUUAAAUUAAUAUUUUUAAAACAGCAUUAAAAUGUUACAUUGACUAAAACAGCAAUCCUAGCUUGCUUAAACAUAAUAGCACUUGCUUCAGAGAAUAUGUGCAUAGGAUUGGGGUCUAAUUAGGCUAGUUUUGCUUUGUGCAAAAAGCUUUCAGAUUGAAGUAAAGGCUACCAGUGUAGAAUAGUAAGAACUAGCAGUUUUUCGGUUUGUAUGGUUCACUCUCACUGUUGUCUUUGGUGCAACCUAGUAGUAGUAGUAGUUUGGAUUUGAUAUCCCGCCUUUCACUCCCUUUAAGGAGUCUCAAAGCGGCUAACAUCCUCCUUUCCCUUCCUCCCCCACAACAAACACUCUGUGAGGUGAGUGGGGCUGAGAGACUUCAAAGAAGUGUGACUGGCCCAAGGUCACCCAGCAGCUGCAUGUGGAGGAGCGGGGAAUCGAACCCGGUUCCCCAGAUUACGAGUCCACCGCUCUUAACCACUACACCACACUGGCUCUCGUCAUUUUUGCACCAAAUGCAGCCUAACCUAAGGUGGCAGUCAUAUACACAUUUACUUAUAAACUCUACGUGACUUAUCCUCUGCCCUACUCCUCUGCCCUACUCAUGCAUGCAUAGUGUUAUCCGUUUCACUCCUCUCCCCCAUUUCUUUUUGCAGAUCAUCCAGCCUGCUGAAGGGUCUUGAGGAUCUCAAAAGCUUGCACUUCUUUUCGCCCUAAUGAAGGUGUCGUUCUUUAUGGUCUGAUCAGUGUUGAAAAAAUUGAAAGCUUGCUAAUUCCCACCACUUCUAAGCCAAAAGCUAUUCCGAGGCCUCCGGAGUGGAGGCAACAUGCCUCUUCCUCUCUUGUCUCCUGGCCUUUUUCAGGAGGGCCCAAGGAAAGAGGUGUCCUGCUUCCUUCUCCUCCCACCCACUCGUGUACAUGAAAUUUAUUAUGGUCAGAGACCAGCUUGUGAAACACAAAUGGAACUACAAUCCCAGAAGCAAACAAACACUCAUGUGUUCCUGUUGCUUCUUUAUAUAAUAAAGUGAUAAAAUGCUGAAUUCCAGCGAGUGAUUAAUCAUGGACACCAUUCCCAAAUAAAGGAGACAUUGUGGGACAGAGAUAAAUAAAGGAUGCCCUGUGUAUCCCACUGUUGAAAUGCUGUCUCCUUGAACUUUAUCCCAUAGAACUCAGUGGAUGCCAUUAAGCAGUAAGCCACUUCCUAUUGGCAUGCACCCACUCUGUUUUAACACAUUUUUCGUUGCCUCUUAACCUUAGGGGGAGGUCUUCACUAGGUUUUACUCAGCAUAGAAAUUAAUCAACAUGACUAAGUUAGGUCCAUUAAGUAAAAGUUAGCUGUUUUCUGAACCCCUAGGUAGUAAUCAAUUAACAGUUGCCCAUCAUCAGCCUAGGGCAGGCAAUUAAGAUUAGCAACUCCGAAAACAGUUUCUAAAAAGGAUAUCCUCUAUCCCAUGAAUGUUUACAUUCAGAUUUAAUUGAUAAAGUUCAGCAAAACGGGUGAUACCAAAACUUUUUAUAUGAAGAGUUGGCAUUUUUACCAGAAUCAGCUGUUGAUUAUGGCAUGACUGGGGGGUUGAGGCACCUUGCUGGAAAGACUCCAGGCUAUUUGUAUUUACCAGUAAGUUAACAAUGAGUAUGACUUCAAGAACAGAGAAGAUUGAUUGGCAAGACAAUAAACACACUUCUGUCUAUGAGUCUUCUAGCAUUCAAUUUCUUUUGGACUACUUUGAAGGAAUCUAGGCUGUACUGAGUCUCCCUUUGCUUCUAGAAGGGUAUUAGAUAAUUGUAUGCAAUGAUACAAAGGUAUUAUAUUCCUUUGUGGAUCCUGCUUUGCAUUUUUUAAUCCAUAGCAGACUGGUAUAUACCAAAAUUAAUGAAGCAAUUCAGAGUGUGAUACAUGAGCAGUUCCCCAUUGUAGUUUCCUUAAUUGUAUAUGCCAUUUGUGUAUGUUGCGUAAUGUUACAAUUGUGUCACAUUAAGACUGCAGUCCUAUACAGUUAUUCUGUUGAACACAAUAGGACUUCUGAAUUAACACGUACCUCAUCAGGCAAUCUUUACUCCUACUUCUGGCCUUGUAGUGAAAUUGUAUCAGGUAGUUACGGGUGCCUCACCUGUUUUAGUACUGAACAUUUUUGAGUGUAAGGCAGUCCUGGUACAGAUGUGAAUUGUUGUGUUUCCAAUUCUAUAAAAUGCUUUACAGACUCAACACCAUUUGACUACAUUAACUUUCAACUUCACCUUACAGUAAGGUGAUACAUGAAGAUGAAAGAACAGUACAGUCUUCAAGAUUCCUUGGUACCAAUAUUCAAAUCUGUUUACUCCAAGUAAAGUGGUUUGGCAAUUGCCAUUACUGGCUUGGUAGGUGGUAGGCACAGCCUUGUCAACCAUGGCAGAAUUUCUAAAGCUGGAUGAAUAGAGCUUCUUCUUCCAGCCAGAAUGUGGAUGAUAUAACAAGAUACAAGAACAAUGAGCCCCUUUAGACAAACUGGAAUGGACCGUUGCCAGUCCCACAGCUGAAUCCUGCUGUUUGGAAAGAAGCAUUUUGCUGUUUCCUCAUUUCACAUUCACGAACCAGCGAUGUAAAAGGUUUACCAUAAGUGAAUCGCCAGUGUUCUUACAUAAAAUUAUAUGUUGAUAGUUCCACUUUGUGUUUGGAGUAGCACAUUCCCAAUGGUUAAGGAAAAGGGUG